rnacentral:tRNA from 1 species
CCCUGGUUAGCUCAGUUGGUAGAGCGCGCCACUUGUAAUGGAGAGGUCCCGGGUUCGAUACCUGGACCAGGCG